UACGUAGGGGGGCAAGCGUUGUCCGGAUUUAUUGGGCGUAAAGAGCGUGUAGGCGGCCAUACAGGUCAGCUGUGAAAACUCGAGGCUCAACCUCGAGACGUCGGUUGAAACCGUAUGGCUAGAGUCCGAAAGAGGAGAGUGGAAUUCCCGGUGUAGCGGUGAAAUGCGCAGAUAUCGGGAAGAACACCCGUGGCGAAGGCGGCUCUCUGGGACGGUACUGACGCUGAGACGCGAAAGCGUGGGGAGCGAACAGG
rnacentral:rRNA from 1 species